rnacentral:rRNA from 1 species
UACGGGAGGAUCCAAGCGUUAUCCGGAUUUAUUGGGUUUAAAGGGUGCGUAGGCGGCCUGUUAAGUCAGGGGUGAAAGACGGUAGCUCAACUAUCGCAGUGCCCUUGAUACUGAUGGGCUUGAAUGGACUAGAGGUAGGCGGAAUGAGACAAGUAGCGGUGAAAUGCAUAGAUAUGUCUCAGAACACCGAUUGCGAAGGCAGCUUACUAUGGUCUUAUUGACGCUGAGGCACGAAAGCGUGGGGAUCAAACAGG